AAGUCGUAACAAGGUUUCCGUAGGUGAACCUGCGGAAGGAUCAUUAUCGAGUUUUGAAACGGGUUGUAGCUGGCCUUAUAUUGAGGCAUUGUGCACGCCUGGCUCAUCCACUCCUUCAACCUCUGUGCACUUAUUGUAGGUCGGUGGAAGAUUGGCUUUUAUUUUUUAAAAACCAACCGGAAGCCUUCCUACGUUUCACUACAAACGCUUCAGUUAUAGAAUGUAUCUCUGCGUAAUAACGCAUCUAUAUACAACUUUCAGCAACGGAUCUCUUGGCUCUC
rnacentral:misc_RNA from 1 species